GCUAUUUUAUUUUAUUUUACCUUAACCAUCCUUAAUAAGUUAAUAUUCCCCCAACUGAAAAAAUUACCUCAUUAAUUUAACUCCUCCGUUUCGCCGUUUUAAUUUUAUACAUUUUAACCCGUCAUCACCGUCAGUCUCCGUUAUAAAACUGUUCUUCUUCUUAUUACUAUUUACUACUACUGCAUUGCUAGCUAUCCACCACUCCGUUAUC
rnacentral:lncRNA from 1 species